rnacentral:rRNA from 1 species
GACGGAGGAUGCAAGUGUUAUCCGGAAUCACUGGGCGUAAAGCGUCUGUAGGUGGUUUAAUAAGUCAACUGUUAAAUCUUGAGGCUCAACCUCAAAAUCGCAGUCGAAACUAUUAGGCUAGAGUAUAGUAGGGGUAAAGGGAAUUUCCAGUGGAGCGGUGAAAUGCGUAGAGAUUGGAAAGAACACCGAUGGCGAAGGCACUUUACUGGGCUUUUACUAACACUCAGAGACGAAAGCUAGGGUAGCAAAUGGG